UUGAUCUCAAAUCAGGUAAGACUACCCGCUGAAUUGAAGCAUCUAAUUAAGCGGAGGAAAAGAAACUAACAAGGAUUCCCCUAGUAACGGCGAGUGAAGAGGGAAGAGCUCAAACUUAAAAUCUGGGAGGAUUCCUCUCCGAAUUGUAGUCUAUAGAAGCGCAACCGGGUUCCGACCUUUGUCCAAGUACCCUGGAAGGGGGCAUCAGAGAGGGUGACAAUCCCGUAUCUGGCGAAGGAUUGGAGUCCAUACGGUGCGUAUUCGACGAGUCGAGUUGUUUGGGAAUGCAGCUCUAAAUGGGUGGUAAAUUCCAUCUAAAGCUAAAUAUUGGCGAGAGACCGAUAGCGAACAAGUACCGUGAGGGAAAGAUGAAAAGAACUUUGAAAAGAGAGUUAAAAGUGCCUGAAAUUGCUAGCAUGGAAGCGAUUGAAACUGGUUAGCUGCAUGCUGGAUUGCGCGGUGACUUCCGUUCUGCGGAUUUGCUGUGUAGCUCCGGUGUGUAGAAGUCAACUCCGGUUACUGUUUGGGUGACCUGCGGCGGGGAAGGUAGGCCGGUGCUCUCGGGUACUGGUUGUUAUAGCUCCGUUGUAGUGCCUGAGUGGGGACCAGGACGUGGGGUUUGUAUCGGUUGCUGUGGCUGCUUGUGGCUCACUGAGCUGCAGGUACCUGCGGCAGCGGAUGCGAGUCUCCUGUUGACGUAACGGUUUUAACCGUCCCGUCUUGAAACACGGACCAAGGAGUCUAACAUAUAUGCGAGUAUUGUGGUGGCAAACCACGGUGCGCAAUGAAAGUGAAGGUCUGCUCGGCAGGCUGAGGUGUGAGCCUUGGCAACAAGGUGCAACAUCGACCGAUCUGGAGGUUUACCGAAAGAUUUGAGUAAGAGCAUAUACGUUGGGACCCGAAAGAUGGUGAACUAUGCCUGGGUAGGAUGAAGCCAGAGGAAACUCUGGUGGAGGUCCGAAGCGGUUUUGACGUGCAAAUCAAUCGUCGAAUCUGGGUAUAGGGGCGAAAGACUAAUCGAACCAUCUAGUAGCUGGUUCCCUCCGAAGUUUCCCUCAGGAUCGCUGGAACUUGUACAGUUUUAUCAGGUAAAGCGAAUGAUUAGAGGUCUUGGGUGUGAAACACACUCAACCUAUUCUCAAACUUUAAAUAGGUAAAUACCCUAUGUUGCUUAAUUGAACAUGGGGGUCAAUGUAAGUUCCAAGUGGGCCGUUUUUGGUAAGCAGAACUGGCGAUGCGGGAUGAACCGAACGGGAUGUUAAGGUGCCCAACUGUACACUCAUCAGACCCCACAAAAGGUGUUGAUUCAUUUUGACAGCAGGACGGUGGCCAUGGAAGUCGGAACCCGCUAAGGAGUGUGUAACAACUCACCUGCCGAAUGGAUUAGCCCUGAAAAUGGAUGGCGCUCAAGUGUACGACCUAUACAUUCCCUUCAGGGCAAGCUCGAAGCCCUGGAGAGUAGGAGGGCGUGGAGGUUGUGACGAAGCCUAGGGCGUGAGUCCUGGUAGAACAGCCUCUAGUGCAGAUCUUGGUGACAGUAGCAAAUAUUCAAAUGAGAACUUUGAAGCCUGAAGUGGAGAAAGGUUCCAUGUGAACAGCAUUUGGACAUGGGUGAGUCGGUCCUAAGAGAUAGGGAAACUCCGUUUUAAAGAGCGCGAUUCGUCGCGCCGCCUAUCGAAAGGGAAUCAGGUUAACAUUCCUGAACCAGGCAGUGGAUAUUUAAGCGGUAACGCAACUGAAAUCGGAGACGUCGGCGAGGGUCCUGAGAAGAGUUCUCUUUUCUUCUUAACAGUCAGAAACCCUGGAAUCAGAUUAUCUGGCGAUAGGGUCAGUUGGCUGGUAAAGCACUUUGCUUUUUGAAGUGUUCGGUGCGCUCUCGACGACCCAUGAAAAUCCGAUGGAAUGAAUAAUUCUCACGUCUGGCCGUACUCAUAACCGCAUCAGGUCUCCAAGGUGAGCAGCCUCUAGGCGAUAGAAUAAUGUAGAUAAGGGAAGUCGGCAAAACAGAUCCGUAACUUUGGGAAAAGGAUUGGCUCUAAGGGCUGGGCCAGGGAGCCUGCGACUUGACGGUGGAAGCGAAGGCCUGGGCUGCGGUUGCCGCAAGGUGGCUGCGGACUGGGCAGUUGCAUCCAUUUGAUGGGCGUAGGAGACAUGUUCCGCAAGGGGUGUGUCGAUUCCUUGGCGAUUAACAGCUAACUUAGAACUGGUACGGACAAGGGGAAUCUGACUGUUUAACUAAAACCAAGCUUUGCGAAGGUCCCAACCGUGAUGUUGACGCAAGGUGAUUUCUGCCCAGUGCUCUGAAUGUCAAAGUGAAGAAAUUCAACCAAGCGCGGGUAAACGGCGGGAGUAACUAUGACUCUCUUAAGGUAGCCAAAUGCCUCGUCAUCUAAUUAGUGACGCGCAUGAAUGGAUCAACGAGAUUCCCACUGUCCCUAUCUACUAUCUAGCGAACUCGCAGCAAGGGGAACGGACCUUGCAGAAUCAGCGGGGAAAGAAGACCCUGUUGAGCUUGACUCUAGUCUGACUUUGUGAAAUGACUUGAGAGGUGUAGAAUAAGUGGGAGCGCAAGCGAAAGUGAAAUACCACUACUUUCAAUGUUAUUUUACUAAUCUGAUUGUGCGGGACGGGGCCUCACGGCUCUAUUUCUCUGGUUAAGCACCUUCGCGGUGUGACCCGUAUCAGAGACAUAGUCAGGUGGGGAGUUUGGCUGGGGCGGCACAUCUGCUAAAAAGUAACGCAGGUGUCCUAAGAUGAGCUCAGUGAGAACAGAAAUCUCACGUGGAACAAAAGGGUAAAAGCUCAUUUGAUUUUGAUUUUCAGUACGAAUACAAACUGUGAAAGCAUGGCCUAUCGAUCCUUUAGUCUUUAGGAAUUUUAAGCUAGAGGUGUCAGAAAAGUUACCACAGGGAUAACUGGCUUGUGGCAGCCAAGCGUUCAUAGCGACGUUGCCGUUUGAUCCUUCGAUGUCGGCUCUUCCUAUCAUUGACCUGUAUCCGAGUCCAAGCGUAGGAUUGUUCACCCACUAACAGGGAACGUGAGCUGGGUUCAGACCGUCGUGAGACAGGUUAGUUUUACCCUACUGAUGAAAUGUUGUUGCAAUAGUAAUUCAACAUAGUACGAGAGGAACCGUUGAUUCGCACACUUGGUCUUGACACCUGGCUGAAAAGCCAAUGGUGUGAAGCUACCGUGCGUAGGAUUAUGUCUGAACGCCUCUAAGACAGAAUCCGUGCUAGAACGUAACGACUCUGCCUUCCGACACGACAUGCAUACAUAUAGGUGGGCCUGUGCCCAUCGAGCAUCAUAUUAGGUAACUGGGCAGGGGAAGACCUCCCGCUUACCGGACCAAUUCCACUGCGUCGGAGGGAUAAAUCCUUUGUAGACGACUUAAUUUGGAACDRGGURYUGUAAGYRKYMGAGUAGC
rnacentral:rRNA from 1 species